AGAAACUUAGGAUUACAGACCAAACCGAAGGCCUUCAAAGCCUUAAACAAGAGUUAAACCCUCUUAGUUUCUG
rnacentral:tRNA from 1 species